ensembl:lncRNA
AUUCUGUGACUCUUUGCAUCACUCGCGUUAUUUAUUUAUUUAUUUUUUUAUAUUCUGCCUUCUUCCAGAAAAGUGUUUAAGGCAACAAUGCUUGUUUUUUGGUGUUUUCUUUUGACAUUUGAAAAUUUAGUACAUUGUUAAAAUGUACUUGUUAAACAGGUAAUUUUAAAGAGAAGAAACAAUUGUUUUUAGUAAGUUUUCUUUUUCCUUUUUCAAUGAAUCGAUUCUUCAAAUGAAAAGUUCUUGAGAGAAAGAGAGGAAGAUACAGCAGACAUAGGACCGAGCCAAGGAAGAGUCUGCCUGAGAGAGACGCUUGGCCUGUGCUUUGCUGCCAUCCGUGCGGCCUUGGCCAAGUCCCUGUUAACAGAGGCGGCUCCACUUCAGACAGGGACAAGGCUUCCUGCUGUGCCUUUCUGGCAGGGUUUUGUGGGGUCACAUGGGAAGCAAUGUGUUACGCAAGCAGUCUCCAUGUGCGUGUAAACUGCUGUCGUGGUGACUUGUCCCUCUUCUUAGUGGAAACGCAUUUGAGAUGGUGACAGGGCUGGAUGAACCUGUGACCCUGGGAGAUCCGGGCUGGACUGUGGACCCCGAUGGGCCAGAGUCCUUGUGGCCCACAGCAUAGCACUGGGGACAGAGCGCUCUAUGCAGGUGAGGCAUAUGAGAACAACAUGGUAAAUAAUUGAUGAAGUCACAUUUGUUCAACUUAAAGGAUUGUUUUUUAUUCUGAAGUUAUUUUCUUCCUUAUUUAGAUGAUAAAAUUUCCUUUUAUGUAAUGAAGGUAAAAGUAGAGGGCAAUAUUUUUGCUUUUUGAAAUGCUCUUGGUUGCAAAACAAAAUGUUGGUUGCUGUUUGUCGGCCCCAGAAUUUCUUCUUAAGUUCUCCUGUCUCUGAAAUCCCGAAGUCAGGGAACCACAGUCUUGCUGUGGUGCAUGUUUACGUAUUGGUGAGAAAUUCCUCUUGGGUUCUUGGACAGCCUGUACACUGGCAGACAGCACUGCAGCAUUUCCACUACUCAUGGCCAAGAACGAGUUUGGAGAUCGCUGCGUGCGGUUUUAGGAAGUGCAAACACCCGUGGUGAUGGGCCUCUGGCCACCUCUGGAUCCAUGGGACAUACAGGAAGCUGGUGUGGCCUUCUCGGUGAGGACUGCCCCUUAACCUGGGCACUGGGAGCCUGUGGCCCCCCUCUAUGUUGGUGAAGACACCAGUGUGGGUCUUCUGGCUCUGGGGCUACAGCUUCUGCCUCCUCACCUGGCCGUCGGUACUCGGCAAGCAGGCCUGGCCUCCAGGGGCCUGGAUCCCCGCUGGCUGGGAUUGGCCUCCUGGAAGUACCUGUUUGGGCCAUGUGACCUCCUUUCUCACUUACGCCUCACUCCCCUCCUCCUGCUUCAAACCCGAAUCUCUCAGUGUGGAAUGAAACAGUUUAGAUGCAUACAUGAUGCACGUUGGUGGGAUUCACAUCCCAGGAGAAUUCCACGGAGAGGAAUGUGCAGAUUUUGAAGUGCACAGUGAUGUGUGGAAUAAAUACUAUACAUUCUCAGCAGACAGUGGGAUGGAGAAGUGAGUGGGGGCAGGAGGGGGAUUUCUGUUGCCUUCACAUGUCAUUGCUCAGUGCCUGGAAUGCAGGCGAGUCUCUCUUUUUUAUGUUGCUUUGAUUUCAAGAUCUCUUAGAUAUACUAGGUAGUGUAUGAAUGUGCAUAAAUCCUGUUUGAGAAUGGUGUUUAUGAAGAAGCUGUUUCGUGUGUACAGUUGCUGCUGUAAUUUAGCCGGCAGUGCCCUGCCCUGCUCUGCAGUGUCUGCACAGCUCCCACUGCUUCUCUUUGCUGUUGGGCGUGUGAGGCAUGACUUGGAGGGGGGCCUGGUGCCUGGGGACCUGCUGAAGAGAAUGCUCACCAGCCCUCUGUUUCCCUUUCUGCUUUGGUAAUCAACACGUGUUUGCCUGCAGUGGCCGGGACCGUGACUGUUUCUGCCCUUGUGCCUAGUUAAGAGCCUUCAGAAGCAUAAUGAACAUUUUUGAUAUGCUGUUGUAACUUCAGUAAACGCUUUAUUUCCCUCUAACUGCCCCCAAAUGCCUUAAUUUUGUUUAUUUCAACAGGUGGAAGUGUUGGUCGUGUGAACUCUUGGUAUUUGCAUUUCAAGAAGGGAGUUCUUUUUUCUUUCUUCUUUCUAUGGAACGUUUCAAGUGAUUGGGUAGAAAAGAAGGGCUCUGAAGCAGGAGUUUUCACCUGUUCUGAGGGAACUUGGGGCUCCAGGGACAUACCCCAAAUGUUGCCCAGGUUGAAACUCCCUGACAGCCUGUUUUACGUAGUGGCUUGUGGUUUCCAGUUUGAAGAGAGUUGUGCCCCUAAAAGUGUUUGAAACCUGUGGCUUUGAAGCAAGGUGCCAUUGUCCCCACAGUGUUCCGUGGGGUGGGGGGUGAUGGAGACUGUGGGCCAGCCUGUUGUUUUCGGCCCCCAUUGUUACAUGGGACCUGUUUUGACGGUGGGAGGGUGAGAUGUGAAGAUUUGGGAUGAACCUGGAAUGAACGAACUAAAUAAAGACAUGCAUCCAUCUG